rnacentral:rRNA from 1 species
GAUGAACGCUGGCGGCGUGCCUAAUACAUGCAAGUCGAGCGAAGCGGGGGCAGGUGAGUAACACAUGGAUAACCUCCUAUAAGACUGGGAUAACCUCGGGAAACCGGAGCUAAACCGGAUAAGUAUAGAUGGAUCCGCGCUGCAUUAGCUGGUUGGUAAGGUAACGCGUUACCAAGUCAACGAUGCAUAGCCGACCGGAGAGGGUGAUCGACCAAACCGGAACUGAGACACGGUCCAGACUCCUACGGGAGGCAGCAGUAGGGAAUCUUCGGAAAUGGACGAAAGCCUGACGGAGCAACGCCGCGUGAGUGAUGACGGCCUUCGGGUUGUAAAGCUAUGUUAAUCGGGACGCGGUACCGGAAUAGAAAGCCACGGCUAACUACGUGCCAGCAGCCGCGGUAAUUC